rnacentral:rRNA from 1 species
UAACACUAACUGGAGGACCGAACCGACUAAUGUUGAAAAAUUAGCGGAUGACUUGUGGCUGGGGGUGAAAGGCCAAUCAAACCGGGAGAUAGCUGGUUCUCCCCGAAAGCUAUUUAGGUAGCGCCUCGUGAAUUCAUCUCCGGGGGUAGAGCACUGUUUCGGCAAGGGGGUCAUCCCGACUUACCAACCCGAUGCAAACUGCGAAUACCGGAGAAUGUUAUCACGGGAGACACACGGCGGGUGCUAACGUCCGUCGUGAAGAGGGAAACAACCCAGACCGCCAGCUAAGGUCCCAAAGUCAUGGUUAAGUGGGAAACGAUGUGGGAAGGCCCAGACAGCCAGGAUGUUGGCUUAGAAGCAGCCAUCAUUUAAAGAAAGCGUAAUAGCUCACUGGUCGAGUCGGCCUGCGCGGAAGAUGUAACGGGGCUAAACCAUGCACCGAAGCUGCGGCAGCGACGCUUAUGCGUUGUUGGGUAGGGGAGCGUUCUGUAAGCCUGUGAAGGUGGCCUGUGAGGGUUGCUGGAGGUAUCAGAAGUGCGAAUGCUGACAUAAGUAACGAUAAAGCGGGUGAAAAGCCCGCUCGCCGGAAGACCAAGGGUUCCUGUCCAACGUUAAUCGGGGCAGGGUGAGUCGACCCCUAAGGCGAGGCCGAAAGGCGUAGUCGAUGGGAAACAGGUUAAUAUUCCUGUACUUGGUGUUACUGCGAAGGGGGGACGGAGAAGGCUAUGUUGGCCGGGCGACGGUUGUCCCGGUUUAAGCGUGUAGGCUGGUUUUCCAGGCAAAUCCGGAAAAUCAAGGCUGAGGCGUGAUGACGAGGCACUACGGUGCUGAAGCGACAAAUGCCCUGCUUCCAGGAAAAGCCUCUAAGCAUCAGGUAACAUUAAAUCGUACCCCAAACCGACACAGGUGGUCAGGUAGAGAAUACCAAGGCGCUUGAGAGAACUCGGGUGAAGGAACUAGGCAAAAUGGUGCCGUAACUUCGGGAGAAGGCACGCUGAUAUGUAGGUGAAGCGACUUGCUCGUGGAGCUGAAAUCAGUCGAAGAUACCAGCUGGCUGCAACUGUUUAUUAAAAACACAGCACUGUGCAAACACGAAAGUGGACGUAUACGGUGUGACGCCUGCCCGGUGCCGGAAGGUUAAUUGAUGGGGUUAGCGGUAACGCGAAGCUCUUGAUCGAAGCCCCGGUAAACGGCGGCCGUAACUAUAACGGUCCUAAGGUAGCGAAAUUCCUUGUCGGGUAAGUUCCGACCUGCACGAAUGGCGUAAUGAUGGCCAGGCUGUCUCCACCCGAGACUCAGUGAAAUUGAACUCGCUGUGAAGAUGCAGUGUACCCGCGGCAAGACGGAAAGACCCCGUGAACCUUUACUAUAGCUUGACACUGAACAUUGAGCCUUGAUGUGUAGGAUAGGUGGGAGGCUUUGAAGUGUGGACGCCAGUCUGCAUGGAGCCGACCUUGAAAUACCACCCUUUAAUGUUUGAUGUUCUAACGUGGGCCCCUUACCGGGGUUGCGGACAGUGUCUGGUGGGUAGUUUGACUGGGGCGGUCUCCUCCUAAAGAGUAACGGAGGAGCACGAAGGUUGGCUAAUCCUGGUCGGACAUCAGGAGGUUAGUGCAAUGGCAUAAGCCAGCUUGACUGCGAGCGUGACGGCGCGAGCAGGUGCGAAAGCAGGUCAUAGUGAUCCGGUGGUUCUGAAUGGAAGGGCCAUCGCUCAACGGAUAAAAGGUACUCCGGGGAUAACAGGCUGAUACCGCCCAAGAGUUCAUAUCGACGGCGGUGUUUGGCACCUCGAUGUCGGCUCAUCACAUCCUGGGGCUGAAGUAGGUCCCAAGGGUAUGGCUGUUCGCCAUUUAAAGUGGUACGCGAGCUGGGUUUAGAACGUCGUGAGACAGUUCGGUCCCUAUCUGCCGUGGGCGCUGGAGAACUGAGGGGGGCUGCUCCUAGUACGAGAGGACCGGAGUGGACGCAUCACUGGUGUUCGGGUUGUCAUGCCAAUGGCACUGCCCGGUAGCUAAAUGCGGAA